GUCUAUGGCCAUGCCACCUGGAACAAGCCCGAUUCUAUCUGAUAUCGGAAGCUUAGCAGGGUCGGGCCUUGUUAGUAUUUGGAUGGGAGACCACCUAGGGAGACCAGGUGCUGUAAGUG
rnacentral:rRNA from 1 species